AGUGAACGCUGGCGGUAGGCCUAACACAUGCAAGUCGAACGGCAGCACAGUAAGAGCUUGCUCUUACGGGUGGCGAGUGGCGGACGGGUGAGGAAUACAUCGGAAUCUACUUUUUCGUGGGGGAUAACGUAGGGAAACUUACGCUAAUACCGCAUACGACCUACGGGUGAAAGCAGGGGAUCUUCGGACCUUGCGCGAUUGAAUGAGCCGAUGUCGGAUUAGCUAGUUGGCGGGGUAAAGGCCCACAAAGGCGACGAUCCGUAGCUGGUCUGAGAGGAUGAUCAGCCACACUGGAACUGAGACACGGUCCAGACUCCUACAGGAGGCAGCAGUGGGGAAUAUUGGACAAUGGGCGCAAGCCUGAUCCAGCCAUACCGCGUGGGUGAAGAAGGCCUUCGGGUUGUAAAGCCCUUUUGUUGGGAAAGAAAAGCAGCAGGUUAAUACCCCGCUGUUCUGACGGUACCCAAAGAAUAAGCACCGGCUAACUUCGUG
rnacentral:rRNA from 1 species